GCAGGUAGCUCAGUUGGUAGAGCAUGAGAUUAUAAAUCUCCGGGUCAUGGGUUCACAUUGGGCUAAAGAGUCCUGCAUUGCA